AGAGUUUGAUCCUGGCUCAGAACGAACGCUGGCGGCGUGCCUAACACAUGCAAGUCGAACGGAGUGAAGGAGCUUGCUCUUUCAUUUAGUGGCGCACGGGUGAGUAACGCGUAGAUAAUCUGCCUUGGACUCUGGGAUAACAUCUCGAAAGGGGUGCUAAUACCGGAUAAGCCCACGAUGGCGUAAGUCAUUGCGGGAAAAGGGGGCCUCUGAAUAUGCUCCUGAUUCAAGAUGAGUCUGCGUACCAUUAGCUAGUUGGUAGGGUAAGAGCCUACCAAGGCGACGAUGGUUAGCUGGUCUGAGAGGAUGAUCAGCCACACUGGAACUGAGACACGGUCCAGACUCCUACGGGAGGCAACAGUGGGGAAUUUUGCGCAAUGGGGGAAACCCUGACGCAGCAACGCCGCGUGAGUGAUGAAGGCUUUCGGGUCG
rnacentral:rRNA from 1 species